GGGUGCACGGUGGUUUAGUGGUUAGCAUGUUCACCUCACACAUGAAGUGUUGGGGGUUCGAUUCCCACUGUGGUCC